UCUUUUCUCGUCCUUCAUCUCUCCGCCGUCAUUCACCUAUUUCUCUCUUAUCCUGAGAUUAGACUUGAGCAUAACACCGCAGCAAUAAAACCACCGGAGAGUUUAAUUAGAAACCACAAUUCCUCCUCUUUUUCUCGGUUUUGUGCUUCU
ensembl:ncRNA Y57E12B.7 ncRNA